GUUUUGUUGUUUCUUACCGUUCCUCGAUUUUCUUCCCCUCUGUGAGCCACUAUUACUGCAAGCUCUCUUUAAAGUACCCAGCCAUGAACAUAUACCCAAAACAAUACCAAUGGCAACCUUCGUGUUUGCUAUUGUGAUGCUUUUGCCCUUGCGGCUCUACCAAUUCGUGUGCAGUGGCUCCCAAAUCGAAGGGAUCGUAUUGUGAAACUUAUUGGCGUUUUCCGCUUCCCCGUAAACGACACCCGUACAGGGGGCGCUAUUGUUUGUGAGUUACAAAAAAAGGGAAAUCUAAAGCUGCCUUUGGUGUUGCUGCGAUGCUGUGUAUGGCGGGAUCCUUACGGGCAAUUGAAUGGAUAGAUCGAAGGACAAUAACAUGCAGGCAGUACGUGAUGGUGCGUACGUUAAGGAUUACCCUUAAAUCAGUGCCAGGUACUGGCAAAAGGUCAGUUGGAACAGCGUUAUAUUGUUGUCCGCACGGAAAUAAUGCCGAGACAGUACGGAGACACCCGAGAUGGUAUCGCUCGGUAUGUUGCUUCGUCGGACAUCUGGCUUAAGGUUGUCAAAACGAUGCAAUCGGGGAUAGCUAAUUUUCUCACACUUGUCACACCCGGUGACAAAAGUGUCCGUUCGCCAAUUUGACGGAAGCAAUAGGUGUACCGGCAAUCACACCGGCCGAUUCGAUCGACGAAAUUGAUAUUUUGUUUACGAACUUUACAAAUCGCGUCCGGCCGGAAUACGAAAUGAUGUUCAAUUCUUCUGCUCUCGUCCUGUGGUUUCACCUUCCGCCAGUGCCGGCACAAAAUACGGUCGCUUGUCUUAAAUGUGCCUAGCGACUCAUUAAUAUUGCUAACGAGCGACGAUUAUUUCUAUGUUAUGUAUUUAAAGCUGUCUUCUUUUUUCGAUAUAUUGAUUUUUUGCUUUUGAUUUCGGCUGCUUCGCGUUCGGCUUUUUGGUAGUCAUUCGCGGAUUUAUGCGUUGUGUGGCCAACCGUUCACGUACGGCUUUCCCGUAUAUCUAUCCCCACUAGCCGUGGCGGACGAAUCAAAGCAACGCGAUCUGAUUUACCGGAUCGUUCCGUGGUAUAUGCAAAUUGGUAAGCCGUAUGCCGAAAUUUUGCGAUUGGUUCAUGUGGCGACGGCAGCGUGUACGGUGAACGUGAGGACCAGUUGGUACGGCCUAGUACUACCAUCUCUCUAUCCCUAUGUCGCGUGUGUUGCUGUAGUUUCUAGCGUGCGUUGCUAAAGCUAUAACCACGAAUUGAUAUAUUUUAUGGCCAAUUAGGAUGGUGCGAUCGCAUCCGUUUUCAUGUAACGACGAAGGUCUGUAGUUAGGCGAGAGACACGAGAGAGCGUUUGCUAUUUAGCUGCCACAAAACAAAUCCACCGUUUGUAUUGUACAUUUAUGGGACAUUUUUUUUAAAAUUUAUAUCACAUUGUUCUAUUUUAGUUGGUGAACUAUGUUAGUAAACACCAAAUGUCAUUUAUCAAAGGCUUUCACUCAACCCUAACAGAUCACAACUAAUCAAUUAUCUAAUUAUAUUAAAUGAGUGGACUUCACAUGGACAGUUUCUUCAAUUUCUCAAUUAGAUGUUAUCGCUAUUAUUCAACAGUUGGUAAUAAGUGUCUCAAUCGAUUGUUUGCUUAUUGUGCGGAAGUGUGGUUUUGACGGAUAAAUGUGUGGCAAUGACGGAUCGUGCGCGUAUAUCAUACACUUGACAGGACCGAAACACUUUUCGCCGAUCGAUCACCGAUCAUGACUCAACUUUUCCGAUCAUCUCCACCGAACAGCUCAAGAUGAUAAGCAAUCGGUACGAAUGCAAUAAUUGAUGAUGGUCAAUCAAGGCGACUUCCAUUAGUCUUUCCGUGGACCGCAUGGGUGUAUAUGCAAACAUUUUUAAGAACGACGUCGAAAACAACCACACUGAGAAUGUUGAGGAUUGAGUAUGCGAUUUCAUUAGCCCUCUCUCUCUCUCUUAGGCAUUACUAUUGCGUGUCCUCUUCUUAUACCUCGGAUUCAGAUUGCAAAGAAUAGUGCAUUUACUAGUACGCUCACGUACAAUCAAUUAGCGAAAAUUUGUUCACGGAUAUUGUACCCCAAGCCCGUCUGGGGUAGCGUCUCUCAACGAGUUUUUGAAUAUCUUAUGUCUAGUACGGAUCCCCGGGACUCGUCGGUCAUCACCUGUCAAGUGUCAGGUGUGCGGUUCUUCCGCGCCGUACAGGACAACGAUGUGGCCAAGAGUCGCGUGUACCAUCAUCGUGUGCACAUUCGUCCUCUACGUGAGCUUCAGAGUUGAGUCGUGCGCUUGUUUACCUGGUCGAUUCGAUUGCACGAACGCAGGGGGAUGGGGAUCAGUUCAAUCGAUUCGUUCACGGAGCAUAAGAGGGGAUCGUUUUUGGGGUGUUGCAAAACCAAACCCAACCCCAUCCGAGCAUUUCGGUACAACCCCUCGAGAGGUGUAACGGUGGGGGAAAUUUUGGGAAACUGUUGUGUUUUUUUUUCUCUCUACUGGCUAUUUGUGUUUAUUAAAGGAGUGCGUUUGUUGAUUUGAAGCGGUCUUUGCAUACACACUGUCCGCCAUAUAGCAUUGGUGCAGCCCGGUUUGGGGCGUGCUCCGAUCGUACGUCUAUGUAAAACGAUUCACGAUAAGGUACGUACAGCACUUGAUGAAACUAUGCACAGGCUGUAAAGUACAAUACCCCAACGGUAUAGCCUCUGGCAAAAGUGUCAUCUAUCAAUUAGUCAUUUGUCAUUCGUGCCUUGCGGUACGAAUUUGUCGAUGGAUAGCUUGACGCGCACUUUGCUAUACCGUUGCUUUAUAAUAAUAUCUGAUUUAUGGGUAUAAAAACCGUCUCGCAUUCUGCUGCCGUGUGACUGUUUGAUACUGAGCACAUUCCUGACGUACUGCAACCCUUUGGUUUUUUGGUGGUUACAGCAUUACAUUUUUGUUUCCUUGCUGUCCCAGGGAACAGGCAAGGCAAGCAUUCCAACCGCCUGACGGGUGUUGUGGUAUCCGUCGUAUGCAAACUCUCGUUGCUGCCGUGACGUCGACACCCGGUCAGGAUGAAGAUGGAUCGGUGUUCGAAAUAGGAAGGUUUUUUUUAGUUCGAGUUGUAUGAAUUCAAUUAAUGCAAACAUUUCGGUGGCAUUUUUUCGGCUGGCAAACAAACAAAUAAAUUUCAAAACACACGAUGCGGGUGAUUCCGUCCACCACCAACUACUGACCGCACCUUUACCGGUUCAAUUACUCUAGCCCCAUUCGGCAUUCCGAGGAUGCCACAAUCCCACAUACGGUUAGGUGCGUGUGUGUGUGUGGAUGUGUGCACAUUCCUGUGUUGUGAUCUACUUCGAAAAUAGCACGGCAUUCCCAGAUUUCGCGGGAUACGAAAUUCUUAAGGUAAUUUUAAUCCGCACAUACUUACUCAAUUAUUACUGGGCGAUGAUUGUUGGAAGAUCGGAUGGCAAAAAACAGUGAAGGAAUACGGACGGUAGAUGAAUUUAAAGAAAAACUGAUUUAUGAACAUCCCAAUACUUUUGAUGUUUAGCAGUGUACUUAACUACAGAAAU